AUGCGACGUGAUCUGUCUUAAAUAGGAAUAAAUUAAUCUAAAAGGAGAUUCCUAGAUAUUUUUUCAAUUCAAGUCAAGCAUCUUGU
rnacentral:pre_miRNA from 1 species